rnacentral:sRNA from 1 species
AAAACCUUGAUAAACCAAGGUUUUCAAAUCCGUCUACCGCCUUAAAUAUAAAAGAUUUUAUCCAAAGAUAACAAAAAAUCAACGAUCGUUCGUUGAUUUUUUUGUUAUC